CAGAGAGGCACGAUGGGGGCGAUAGACUUAUUGCGCCUUAGGCAGGGAACGAGCAUGGCCUCGGAGUAUGCCUUGUCACCCUGGACAGUGACAGCACCCAGUGGCUGGAAUGAGCUGGCUCUGCGGAUCGCUUUUCACAGGGGUCUGCAAACUGAUGUCCAAAUGGAGUUGAUGUGUGUCAGCGAUUCCAUGCAGCUGGAUGUCUAUAUCGCCAGGGCUAUCAAUGGGCAGCUCCAGGACCGUGACCGUUUGGCGCGCCAUGCCCAUCUCCCUUCCUGAGAUGGGCGCAGUGAUCAAUGCCUGUUCUGCACAGACCACCGCUGUUCUGCACAGACUCCACCAAUGGACUCAGCGGGGUCUGUGCCUGUUCUGCAGUGAGAAGGGGCACUUCCGGAAUGGGUGUGCCUCUGCCCUGGCGAGGAACAGGGCUGCCGUUGCGCCGUUUGAGGUCUUUGAUGCCGAUCCAUCCCGUGGGGUCCAGUUCCAUAACUCACAUGACCCGCCCACUCACACUCACCAUCAAGGGCUACCAUCGAGAGAGACUGGAACUGAUGGUGAUGACGUCAUCCAUACACCCCAUCAUCCUGAAUCUUCUGUGGCUCCAGAGACACAACCCCAACAUCGCUGGGAGCAAGCGGAAGAUCCUGGGAUGGUCCCCGGAGUGUUGGAUGUCUUGACCAUCACAUGUGGAGCUACGUUGGUGGAGAGCCAUGAGGGCGCCCUACCAGCCAACAUCCAGCCUGAGUACAUGGACUUGAGCGGAGUGUUUUUCAGUGAGAAAGCCAGGUGUCUCCCUUUUCACCAUUCCUAGGACUGCGGCAUUGACCUCAUACCAGAAGCCACGUCCCUUCGAGACCAGAUUUACCCCCUCUUGGUGGCCGAAAACGAAACCAUAGAGACCUACAUCAGAGACCCUGGAGCAGGGACACAUCCGCCAUUCCACCUUCUCUGCUUCAGCGAGCUUCUUCUUCGUUAAGAAAGACGGGGGGCUUUGGCCCUGUAUUGAUUACCUGGGGCUCAAAAACAUCACCAUUAAAUACAGGUACCGAUGCCUCUUGUCCCAUCGGCAAUUGAGCAGCUGAUGGGAGCACGCUUCUUCACCAAACUCGACCUCAGGAGUGUGUACAUUGUUCUUGCACCAUUUUGAAAUUCAAAUUCAGUGCUUAUAAGACCUUAUUAAGACCUCAACAAAUAAAUCAAAUGCAA
ensembl:lncRNA